rnacentral:rRNA from 1 species
CAAGUCGAGCGGACAGAAGGGAGCUUGCUCCCGGAUGUUAGCGGCGGACGGGUGAGUAACACGUGGGUAACCUGCCUGUAAGACUGGGAUAACUCCGGGAAACCGGAGCUAAUACCGGAUAGUUCCUUGAACCGCAUGGUUCAAGGAUGAAAGACGGUUUCGGCUGUCACUUACAGAUGGACCCGCGGCGCAUUAGCUAGUUGGUGAGGUAACGGCUCACCAAGGCGACGAUGCGUAGCCGACCUGAGAGGGUGAUCGGCCACACUGGGACUGAGACACGGCCCAGACUCCUACGGGAGGCAGCAGUAGGGAAUCUUCCGCAAUGGACGAAAGUCUGACGGAGCAACGCCGCGUGAGUGAUGAAGGUUUUCGGAUCGUAAAGCUCUGUUGUUAGGGAAGAACAAGUGCAAGAGUAACUGCUUGCACCUUGACGGUACCUAACCAGAAAGCCACGGCUAACUACGUGCCAGCAGCCGCGGUAAUACGUAGGUGGCAAGCGUUGUCCGGAAUUAUUGGGCGUAAAGGGCUCGCAGGCGGUUUCUUAAGUCUGAUGUGAAAGCCCCCGGCUCAACCGGGGAGGGUCAUUGGAAACUGGGAAACUUGAGUGCAGAAGAGGAGAGUGGAAUUCCACGUGUAGCGGUGAAAUGCGUAGAGAUGUGGAGGAACACCAGUGGCGAAGGCGACUCUCUGGUCUGUAACUGACGCUGAGGAGCGAAAGCGUGGGGAGCGAACAGGAUUAGAUACCCUGGUAGUCCACGCCGUAAACGAUGAGUGCUAAGUGUUAGGGGGUUUCCGCCCYUUAGUGCUGCAGCUAACGCAUUAAGCACUCCGCCUGGGGAGUACGGUCGCAAGACUGAAACUCAAAGGAAUUGACGGGGGCCCGCACAAGCGGUGGAGCAUGUGGUUUAAUUCGAAGCAACGCGAAGAACCUUACCAGGUCUUGACAUCCUCUGACAACCCUAGAGAUAGGGCUUUCCCUUCGGGGACAGAGUGACAGGUGGUGCAUGGUUGUCGUCAGCUCGUGUCGUGAGAUGUUGGGUUAAGUCCCGCAACGAGCGCAACCCUUGAUCUUAGUUGCCAGCAUUCAGUUGGGCACUCUAAGGUGACUGCCGGUGACAAACCGGAGGAAGGUGGGGAUGACGUCAAAUCAUCAUGCCCCUUAUGACCUGGGCUACACACGUGCUACAAUGGACAGAACAAAGGGCUGCGAGACCGCAAGGUUUAGCCAAUCCCACAAAUCUGUUCUCAGUUCGGAUCGCAGUCUGCAACUCGACUGCGUGAAGCUGGAAUCGCUAGUAAUCGCGGAUCAGC